rnacentral:rRNA from 1 species
CGAUACAUAGGGGGACUGAGAGGUUAACCCCCCACACUGGUACUGAGACACGGACCAGACUCCUACGGGAGGCAGCAGUGAGGAAUAUUGGUCAAUGGACGCAAGUCUGAACCAGCCAUGCCGCGUGCAGGAUGACGGCUCUAUGAGUUGUAAACUGCUUUUGUACGAGGGUAAACGCAGAUACGUGUAUCUGUCUGAAAGUAUCGUACGAAUAAGGAUCGGCUAACUCCGUGCCAGCAGCCGCGGUAAUACGGAGGAUUCAAGCGUUAUCCGGAUUUAUUGGGUUUAAAGGGUGCGUAGGCGGUUUGAUAAGUUAGAGGUGAAAUUUCGGGGCUCAACCCUGAACGUGCCUCUAAUACUGUUGAGCUAGAGAGUAGUUGCGGUAGGCGGAAUGUAUGGUGUAGCGGUGAAAUGCUUAGAGAUCAUACAGAACACCGAUUGCGAAGGCAGCUUACCAAACUAUAUCUGACGUUGAGGCACGAAAGCGUGGGGAGCAAACAGGAUUAGAUACCCUGGUAGUCCACGCAGUAAACGAUGAUAACUCGUUGUCGGCGAUACACAGUCGGUGACUAAGCGAAAGCGAUAAGUUAUCCACCUGGGGAGUACGUUCGCAAGAAUGAAACUCAAAGGAAUUGACGGGGGCCCGCACAAGCGGAGGAACAUGUGGUUUAAUUCGAUGAUACGCGAGGAACCUUACCCGGGCUUGAAAGUUAGCGACGAUUCUUGAAAGAGGAUUUCCCUUCGGGGCGCGAAACUAGGUGCUGCAUGGUUGUCGUCAGCUCGUGCCGUGAGGUGUCGGGUUAAGUCCCAUAACGAGCGCAACCCCUACCGUUAGUUGCCAUCAGGUGAAGCUGGGCACUCUGGCGGGACUGCCGGUGUAAGCCGAGAGGAAGGUGGGGAUGACGUCAAAUCAGCACGGCCCUUACGUCCGGGGCUACACACGUGUUACAAUGGGGGGUACAGAAGGCAGCUACCUGGUGACAGGAUGCUAAUCCCAAAAACCUCUCUCAGUUCGGAUCGAAGUCUGCAACCCGACUUCGUGAAGCUGGAUUCGCUAGUAAUCGCGCAUCAGCCAUGGCGCGGUGAAUACGUU